CACUCAAUUAUGGCUACUGAGAAUUCCCAUCUUGCGACAGACCAUCUGUAAGAUAGAGAUGCUGGAAUGUUAGGAUGAAUGGGUCAGUCCAAGAUCAAAGGCCUCAGAGACAGGGAAGCUUAUGAUAUAACUCUCAGUCCAAAACCAAAAACCUGAGUGGUCACUGGUGUGAGUCCUAGAGUCCACAGGCAGAUCAACAUUUGGUACUAUGAUCCUCUUUCAUGUCAGCCCUUUUGAUCAACUGGAGUAAUGGGAAUGCUGAGAUGGAACCUAAGAGCUAAUCCUAUGAAGGAAGCAAGGACAUAGCAGCAAGGUAUAGGCUACAGAAAGGCAUUGAGAACAGCUCAUCCAAACCUCUGUUCCUCAUUUAUCCUAUCCUCUUCAAAUACCCCCUGGAAACUGAAGAAAGUAGAUUACCCCCUUCCAAUCAUGGUACUCUGCAUUCUUUCAAAGGGAUGCCCAAACUGGGACCCUUAACCCAAAGUUACAUGAACCCUAUUCCAUUCUGAAGAAGCAGGACUCACAGCUACACAUUUGAAAGGGUGCUGUGGAUCAGAA